rnacentral:rRNA from 1 species
GACGGGGGAUGCGAGCGUUAUCCGGAAUGAUUGGGCGUAAAGGGUCCGCAGGUGGCCCGGUCAGCCCGCUGUCAAAGCCUGGGGCUCAACCCUGGAGAGGCGGCGGAGACCACCGGGCUUGAGUCCGGUAGGGGCAGAGGGAAUUCCCGGUGGAGCGGUGAAAUGCGUAGAGAUCGGGAAGAACGCCAAGGGCGAAGGCACUCUGCUAGGCCUGAUUUCGCGACUGACACUCAGGGACGAGAGCCAGGGGAGCGAAUGGG